rnacentral:sRNA from 1 species
UCGCCGUUGCGACGGGGCAACGCGCCCAC